CAGUUUGAAGAUGGAGGACAGCGACGGCGCUUCUGCGGCGCAGUGAAGUGGAUGACCUGCAUCACACAGCACAUGAAGUCAGAGACACACUUCUCAAUUUUGCUGCUGAUAUGAACAUCCCAGCCAACAAUAAGGAAGUAGAACAGUGGAAAAAGGCCAGUGAUCCCCAAGAUGCUGCAGUUUUGUUUAAAAGGCAUCUCUUAAAGGAAAAGGAGGAGAACUCCACAAUCACAGCUAUCAUUGACAUUCGACAAGAUCGAAUCCCAGAGCCUAGAGAUGAUUGCUUUCUACAAAAGACCACAGAUUGAUUGGGCAGGGCCUUUUUGUUGUUCUU